UGACCCCAAAUGAAGACCCUUUGAAGGAUC
rnacentral:piRNA from 1 species